AGUGAACGCUGGCGGUAGGCCUAACACAUGCAAGUCGAACGGCAGCACAGUAAGAGCUUGCUCUUACGGGUGGCGAGUGGCGGACGGGUGAGGAAUACAUCGGAAUCUACUUUUUCGUGGGGGAUAACGUAGGGAAACUUACGCUAAUACCGCAUACGACCUACGGGUGAAAGCAGGGGAUCUUCGGACCUUGCGCGAUUGAAUGAGCCGAUGUCGGAUUAGCUAGUUGGCGGGGUAAAGGCCCACCAAGGCGACGAUCCGUAGCUGGUCUGAGAGGAUGAUCGGCCACACUGGAACUGAGACACGGUCCAGACUCCUACGGGAGGCAGCAGUGGGGAAUAUUAGGCAAUGGGCGCAAGCCUGAUCCAGCCAUACCGCGUGGGUGAAGAAGGCCUUCGGGUUGUAAAGCCCUUUUGUUGGGAAAGAAAAGCAGCAGGUUAAUACCCCGCUGUUCUGACGGUACCCAAAGAAUAAGCACCGGCUAACUUCGUG
rnacentral:rRNA from 1 species